UAUUUGCCAGCAAUCCUGCUCAGCUCCGUAUACCUUUGCUACGCUGCCUCAGCCUGGCAGUAUUGAACCUGUUGCUGCAUUAGCCGAGUUGUAUUUUGCUAGAUAGGGGAAGGAGGGUUGUCUGCUGUCUGGUAGGAGGGCUUUGUCUGUGUGCGCCUUUCUCUCUCUCCCUCUCUCGCUCUCCCUGUCUCUCGCACUCUCGCUCGCUCUCGCUCGCUCUCUCUCGCUCGCUCUCCCUUUCCCGUCUCUGUGGUUUGUAAGGUAGGUUGCAGUGUGUGUAUAUACACAACAUCAAGAGCAGGAAAAUGGACUCAUUAGGGAGGCAGGCAGUCAUUACCACUCACACUGUACUUCCAGGGAGACAGCGACUAUGAGGAGACAAACUGAGGACUGGGGAACAAGCUGCUUAAGAAAGAAGUGUUGAGAGCUGCUCUUAACCCUUUUGGAGGCCAAAGUCAAAAGGGAACUAGAGGGCUUGACGCAUCCUUUACAUCCGGCAUUUACUCUGACCACAGUCCCUCCCUGUUCUCACAAGCGGAGCUCAGCCCUGCUUCCCUUCCUGUUGAUUCCCAGUCAGCUACAUGACUGCCUGAAGUUACAUUGUAGAUGCUGAAAUCACUGCACCUUAAAAACAAAAAGAUUAAGCCACACUGCAUUCCUGGUAAGCUUCUCAAGAGUCAGCAAUUACUUUGUACUCAUGGAAGUCAAUGAGUGGUUUACCAUGCACUUUAGAUGAAACAGACCAAUACUCCACAUUGUGAAAAUCUCACCCCUAAAUAAAUCCAGGUUCAGAUGAAAAAAAAACUGAACUAGCAAAAAAACUCAACCAUGGCAACAACUGAAUAACGGAUACAUACCUUUGUUUGUGUGUUCCUGAAUAAGAUAUGAAAAGACAAUGGACAGAAACGGGCAUUAUUUCAUAUCCAGUGAGAGUUUAUGCUUUCCAGCGCACUAGCCUUAUUUAAAAGCUGCUUGGUUUUUAAUUGUUUUGCAGCCCACCUCAUCUGUGCACCCAGAGGAUUUUCCUCUGGCCUUUUAAAGUCCACAAAGUUGUUGGGAAUACUAGAUAAGAACACUCCUCUCUUUCUACUUGCUUGUGCAAUUCCUAACUGGUAACAAAAAGAAAUAAAAGCUAAUUCUGUGAGGUUGUUCUGGGAGAGGAAGGUUGAUGAGGGGAGCACUUGACUUCUGAGAUCAGAAAUUGCAGACUAAUUACCCAGCAGUGGAACAAGUUUUGGGCUGCUCGGUUGCUCUCCCUGGAUGAGGGCAACUCUCCAGGACAGCAUUCUCCAGUUCUUGAGUUGUCUGGUUGCCAUAUGUGCCUGAGCCUGAUUAUGCAGUAGGGUUAGUUAUGAUAACUGAGAUUUAUCCUCAUUUUACUUUAUUUCUGUUGUUCAAAAUGUGUUAAAUGGGCAUAGUUUCUUCUGAUGCUACAAAUCUGAAUGGUCCCUUGGGUGGUAGAGAGGGGAAACUCACUGGUGGUGUUCAUGACAAAUAUGUGAACUGACCACUUCCAUUAUGUUCACACUGGAGUCUGGAAUCUCUGAUAACUGUAUCAAAAGACAGCAUAAGACAAGGAGAUCUGGUUACCAACUGGUCUUUAAGAAUAAGAAAGAGACAUUUGCAUUCUUAUUCCCUGAGCUGUAAAUCAGGAGGGACAGUCCUCACUUUGAAUGCCAUGCUUGUUCUCAGCACAAUGUGUAUGGUGAAGGAGGCAUUGAAAGAAAGCAUUAAGUCUAGGAUAACAUCAAAGAAAAUGCUUCAGAUUCUAUUCUUGCUUCUCUAGUGGAUAAAUUAAAACAGAAUGAAACACCAGCAAACUUGAAAAUAAAAGCAAAUGUGUGUGUGUGGACCAUGACAGUUUAUUCUGAAAAUCAAAGUAAAUUCUUCCUCCUUCCAAGCCAUUGUUCUAAUGAUUUAAUUCUCUAACAACUUAAUCCUCUACCUUGAUUUUUUGAUGUGCCUCCUCAAAUUCACUGGCCAGCCUAUAUGGUUGCCUUGAGAUUUUUGGUGUCCUCUUGCUUGGCUUUCAGAGCUACACCAGGUAACUCUGCUGAUCUUACAUUGUGCUUGGAACAGAAUGUAAAGGGGUGUCACUUUAUAGCAACCAACUUACAUUGUGAUUGGAACAGAAUGUAAAGGGGUGUCACUUUAUAGCACCAACAGUCUCAGCAGGCAUUGAAAUAAAAAGUUCAAACAAACCCCCACUCACAACAUGUGGUGGUGAAUGUAGAAAAAUGGGAAGUAGGAGCUUUUCAGGAAGAAGAAGUCUUAAGUAGACAACCUCAGUCUACUCCCUCCUUUGAAUUAGAAGUCACAUGGCACAGUAGCCUUUUUAUAUUAAAAUUUAAAAAAAAGUGUCUAAUCCCUUUUUUCCCCUGGUAUGGCUUUGUGCUUUAUUUUUUUCUACAAUAAUUACACCCUGUGUGGCAAUAUCCCUCUAGCAGGCAAACAUUGCUGUGGAAUACAAUCCCAAGUUCCACCAAACUGUUCCCACAGUCCAGACAGGGCUGCCUCCUGCCUUGGGACGCACCAAGGCAGUCACCACAGUGAAUUCCAUUCAGCUGGAACUGAGACACUUUUACCAUUCGACAAAAAUAAAUCCAGAGAGAAACUAAAUGAGUUCUCAAGUAGCAGUUGAGGUAAAAUAUGUGUGCUUGAAAAGGGUGUAAGAGUCCAGUUCUAAGUGUGUAACAUAGAAGCUAAUUGUAAUCAACAGUUUACUUCUCACAUGUUCUGUGAGGAAGCAUUUGAUUGUUUUCCCAGCUUUAUGAGGGAAGGUGCCGGGUGCUGUAUUUCCCCCGUGCAUUCUGCCACAAGGGGUUUCCCAUGUGUUAUGUGGCAAGGAGGCUGAAGCAGGCAUUGUGCCACUGAUUUCCUCUCUGUCUUGGGUGAGUUCGUGAUUGUAUUUGAGUUUUGUGAGCUGAAAAGAGCAGGAAGGUUUCUGCUAUAAACAACUUGUGAGAAUUGUUGAUACAUUGGGGGACAAAGAACAUUGAUCUUAGUAAUAAAUUUGUCUGAAUAAGCACAUCAGUACUUGGCACAUUGUUAUUAACACCUUUGUGCACUCCUUUUCUUCCUCAAAGACAAUGUGCAUGCAUACAAAUAAACCUACAUUUUCAGCUUUUAUGUCAGUGCAUGACUGUGGGGACAGAGGAGAGACAUCCAGCUGUACAAAUAUACUAAAUAUGUCCUCCAUUAUUUGUGGCAAAAUUAGUUUUUUGGACCCUACUGAUUAGAACAAGACACAUAGUUAUUACUGAGGUUAUCAGCUGUAGGAAAGAAACACUGUCUCAUCUUUAUACCACAUAUCCCAUUCUUUUGUCAGCUUACAUUAUAAAUAAAUAACAAAGCAAUUUGACACAUGCCCAUUGAUUAAAAAUAAAAGUUGUCAGAGUGAGAGGAGAAAGACAAAAAUAUGAAUUAUUAAUAACAAUAUUAAGCAAUGCAAAAAAGAUGCUUAACAUGCAGGAAAGUCCCUGAAAAGUCACUUAGUGAAGGGGAAAGAAAGGACAGCAGUGAAGACCUUCCCUCUACUAUUACUUUGUCUUUUCUUCGCUACUUUGGCCCUUGGAGGUCAGGGUGACUUGUAAAAGAGAGGGAUGAUUCUGUUAAUUUGUGUAAUCUUGUUUACCUCAUCUCUGGUGUUUCCAACAUGUUAUGCAUGCAAACACAGAAGUAUCACAUAAGGAAUGGAGUUAAAGUAAAGUGAUUGUGUGGUGUCACGAUUUGGUUUGGCCAUUUUAUAUUACUGGGCAAUCUUCCUGGCAGUGGCUUUGAAUGACCAAUUGACGGCCCUGGCACAUCAUUUGGAGAAGCUAAGUAAUUUAUACUCUUUCUAAAUUUUGUGUAUCCCACAUACCUGUGAUUUAUUAUGCAGAUAUUAGGGUAUACAAAAAUUCUAGCAAUAGUUUGUGUUCUGUACUUUUUAAUGCUCUAAAUGAUAAAACAUGAACAGUACCCUAGUAGCUGGCUUAAUUAUGCAUUUCUUUUCCCACCUUCUGUCGCUUAUUUUGGUUGCAGCUAUUUAAAUGCUCUCAUUUAUCAGACCAGUUUGAAUGGCUGUUGGGUAUAUUGACCAUCCUGGCAAUACUUAAGUUUCCAUCUGUGAAGAUCAGAUUUCUUUUUCCACUGAACAGGGAGGAAAUGAAAAAGUACAGUGGUGAAGGGAAAAAGAGACAAUUGCAAAAUUUUCACAAAAGCUGAGGGAAACCCCUUGGUGACAGUCCUGUUUGCUGAGGAAUGCUCUUGCCCUAAAGCAGGUACAGGUUGUGCUAUCACAGCAGAAUAGCUCAUCAGAAAGUUUUCCUGGUAGCAUCAGAAGUCCUUCAUGGCUGAAGACAAGCUGUCUCUAGAGGGGUAUUUUAUAUUCGACUUCAUCAUGGCCAGUCUGAGCAUUUUGUUAUUUGUAGCUGGGGAGAUGACAUCAUCUUUAAAAAAACCCCAAACCUGCAGGAGCAGUAAGGCUCCUACCCUGUGCUUAUGAUGUUAAUGUUUUGAAUUAACAAACUGUUAAUGAAUUCACAACAUGGUCUCCCAAUUAUUGUGUGUUAAUUCUGGAAAGCUUCUUUUUAUGUAUCUUUGGUUCACAUAAGAGCUAAGGACUUGCAGGUUCUAUGUAUUUCAUGAAAUUCCAAAAGUGCUCAGAGCUUCUGAAUGCCAGGGUCAAAGGAUCUUCUCUCUGGCAUGUAGUUAACCUGUGGUGCAGGUACCUCCAUCCUCAUUUGGGCUUCCUUUGCAGUCAGCUGAAGAAUAUUAGGCACUUAGAGGUGGCCUGUCACAAGGAAAGGCAUCUGAAAUACUUCCUCAAGUAAGGGGUCGCUUCUGUUCAUAGGUCAUAAAGUCUGUGUGAAGACUGUAAGCAGUUCAAAAGUUAUCUGAAAUUCUUCUAUGCAUGUUGUCACAAGCUUAGUAACCAAAACGAGGGAGUUGCCCUUAAGAUGUUAGUCUUCACUUUUCUGUUUCUGUGAGUACAAUGGGAGCACUGUGCAUGUUUGGUUAUACAGGUUAUGAGAAGAUGGACUUCUCUGGGUACAUAAUUGUAACAAUGCAACUACCUAUUAGGCCCUAAAUGGUUUGCAUUUACAUUUUAUGAGCUCUUUUCAGUUCCCAUGUACAUAGUGUGUAAAGAUUAGCACUGAGUGGAUAUGUCUCAGCAUAGGUACCUUACACUACUCCUGAAUUUGGUUGAAUAUGAAAUUAUUGGUCUUAAAUAUUAAUUGAUGUAGCCUGACUCCCCUUAGUACUUCUAAUCUGCUGUAUCUGAUCCCCAAGGUUUUGAUGAACAUUAAUUUGUGCAUUAAAAGACUGAAUUUAAGUUAAUUUCCUUGGUUUGGAAAAGCCACACAUACCAAUACUUGCUUCAGAGGGCUCAAAUACAAACCAAACCAAGUGGAAGGGAACAGCUCCUGGGAUAGGACUGAGAUGACAGAGAGGGAGACAGCUGCCCUUUGUCACAUACCCAGGACUAUAAGCUAAAGUCAGAAAAAAACAUGUAAAGAGAUGCUAGCAUAUUAUGCUAUUCUAUGUUGGAAAUUGAAGUCACUAAUUUCUUAAAUUGUUUUUGUGUACUUGCACCAUAUGUAGCCUUAUUCUAAAGUCUUGUGCUAAUGUCUGCAAGGAAAUCUUUAGACAGUCGAAAAUUUUUUUCUUUGAAAAGGAGAUUCUUAAGAGAGUGAGUAGGUUUUAAAAUUCAGCAAGGCAGGUUAAGAUAACCUUUGGUAAGGAAUUUUAAAAAUCUGGGAGAAAGCACUUUCAUAAUACCAUAAUGGUACUUUUCAUCAGCCUUACUACACCCAUGUGCAGUAUUUCAGCUCUGUAAACUGAAGCUUAUUUAUGCUAAAUGAUUUGCCCAAUAUCUUAUCAUGGGUAAGUGGCAGGCUAGAAAUGGAACCCAGGAGUCCUAAUUUGAUUUCUUGUUGAAUUCAGAGACAGUAUAAUGCCCCUGAAAGAAAAACACUGAAGAAUUCAACAGGAGCCCUCUGCUUGAGGAGUCUCCCAUUUCAAUAAACGUGUGGUUAUAGCAUGUCUGUGCUCUACUGACCGAGGUCCCUGAGGCUGCUUCCAAUCCAAACCCAUGUCUCCUCUGUGGGUGCCCAUUGCCCUGCUGAGUGCUUCAGUGCUUGAAACCAAAAGUCUUGUUCUUAAUGGCCAUACUGGGGAAAAUACAGCCAUGGAAAAGUGCCACCACUGCCAGCGAAAAAUGUGAGUACGGGUGAAAUAAAAAGAAGCUGUAGAGUUGUAAGAAUAUAGGCUGCACUUUGAAUGCUUCUACCAGUGUUGGGCUUCUUAUUUUAGAGUAGUGAAGAUGAGACAGCAGAUGAUAUUAUUUAUCUUCAAAUCCCCAUCUAACAUAUUUACCAGCUCGGUGAGAUCUUGAAUAAAUAUGGAUAAGUCUCUGUGUUUUUAAAUUCAUAUUUUGAAAUUUGACAAUGCAUUGUGUGAGCUUUACAGGGAGGUAUUUCUGGUUUGCGAGAGAAGCCUCUUCAUGUCAGCUUGUCUUUUUGGUAACUUUCACAGUGUGUGAAGAAGUAAGGUAAGAACUAGGACAAAUAAUACCUUUUUCCUGCAGCAUUUGGGCAAACAUUUGAAAUCAGUGGGAUAAAUCUGUUGGCUGGUGAAAGAGACUAGUGCAGACUCUGGAUCUAGUCUGGAAAAUUCAAUCACGUAAUCUUGAAAGGAAAAUUCAAGAGUCAGGGGAAAUGCAGUCCAACACAAUUUGUUCAGUCAGGACUUUGUUUGUGAAUUCCUGUCAGGAUUGACCUCAGUGUAUUUAUAAAACUUAAAAGGGAUGCUCUUUUUUACUAUUCCAAAUUUUCCCUUGUUCAGAGGAAAUUUUGCAUAUGUUACAGCCAGUUUAAUUUGUAGAGACAGAGUAUGAAUUUUCUCAACUAUGACUUGUAGGACAUAACAUAAAGUUUUGUGGGCAGAGUUUUUCAUUAAUGUCUUUUUUUAUGUUUAGCUGGAGACAGAAGCAUUCUGACUUUUUCACAUUUUUGCUGAGGAUAAGAAGUUCUGAAAGUAGAUGGAAAGGUCGCCAUGCACUGGGUGCACAAUAAAGGCUCAAGUGUGGGUGUUUGUCAACACGUGAGAUGCUGUAGGAUGCACCACCUGGCCUUCAGCUGCUUUUCGCAAAAGACAUUUAUCUCAGAAGUGCUAAGUCCUAUCUGCUAGCCAUGUCCAGGUGUGAUUAAACCAAAGUGAUUUUCUGAUGGCACUUGAAACCUAUGUUUAAGCAAAUGCUUUGAGCCCUGAGCCCCAAACUUUACAUACUUGAAACCACAUCCAGGGUAUGAUUUAUUGAUGAUAAUCCUACCAUAGAGUGUUUUAGGACAAAUCCUUUUAAAGCAGUUAUUAGAUGAAAUGUUGGACUCUGUUAAAAUGCUGUAUAAUAUAAAGAAUACUUGAUUUCAUUAAUGCUGGUUUGAUAACAUCAGUUACCCUCUGGCAAUUUAGGUGAGCUCAUAGGCCAAAAUUUUUACCUUUAAAUGCUAUUUCUACUUGUACCAUGUACCGGGGGUGUGAUGGGCACUUAAUUAGCAUAUGGUUUAUACCUGACAGUAUAAAAGCUCCCUCAGCACAUGUGCUGAGUGUCAUGGAUUCCUGGACUGGCAUGAGUUUAUGCCUACUGGGUGUAGAAAAGUUUCUUGGAACUGUUUUGUUUAACCUUUGUAUUAAUAGCAAGGCAUAUCAAAAAACAAUUUACAUCCCUAUUACUGAAAUCUGUGCAGAAUAUGAGAGGGAAGUAUUAAAUAUCUGCAGUUUGGUAAAAUCUGAAGUACAAAGGAAAAAUAUGUAUCAUCUGAAGUUACUCAGGGUGGAUAGCAUAUGUUUUAAAUAGUUGGAAUAAAAAUCUAGAUAGUGUAUAGUGUGAGUUGAUCUUGUCCUACUCUGUGGGCGUUUUUUUUUCUAAGCUGGAAACAUAAGGUUAUAUAUCAACUAAGCAGAUAUGAUCAGUCUGAUCUGCUGGGUCUUCUUUUUGAAGACAUAAUCCUUAUUAAAAGCAACAUUGUGAAGUUUGAACCUUUUUCUUCCACUUCAGGCACAGAUAUUUUCUGCAGCUAUUUUUUUACCGUAAAAAUAAUCUUUUGCAAACUCUUUUCUCAGACUUUAUUCUAGCAAAGCUCCCAUUGACUUCAGUCUCUUUACCUAAGUAGAAACCAAAUCAAAAUUUUGCAAAGUAUUUCAGGAUUAUGAGCUCUAUUUAGAGGGACUUGAAGUUAUACAUUUAUUUGGUGGCGAAAUCUGAGGAGCUUUUUAAUAUGGCCAGUCCUGUUUGAACCUUUUGCAGAAACCUAUAUUUUGUGGACAAUCAUCACUGACAGGUUUAGUUUCAUGAAACUCCAUCCUAAAACCAAACUUAGAAUUUAUCAAGGUCAUUUGAUUUCUUUUAUUUUCCAGUUUUUUUAGUCUUCCACAAUAGGCAGUCUCUUGUGUUGCCUGUAAGCAUAGCAGAGUAGAGAGGGAAUGUAAACCUGCCUAAUGAUAAUGAGUGGAAUAAGAAACUGUUAUCCUGGCAAAUUUGAUAUUAAUUUUGGAAGCUGCAAUCUGUGCAUUUUCUUUCUUUGAUAGUUCUGUUCUUCAUAUGCUCUUCCUUGGUGAAAUCAAAGUUUAUGAUCUUUGCUUACUCUGACAGAUUUAUUUUGAUUGUACUAAGCACUUGUUGAAUUUGGGGAAGCCAUCAUUACUUGGUGUUUUUACUUGCUCUUUUGUCUUCUGGUUAAAGCUUGGUUUGGGAGGUAGAAGAUUGAGGAUCACAUCUCCAGCUAUCAUCCAGGGUCAUUAAGUGGACGCCAGCCAACUAUUUCCAGUGCACAGGUGGUGGUAGCAUUGAUUAAUUCAUGAUCACAAAGUGCUUUGGUCUACUGGCAUAGAAAGCAGAAUAGAAGUGCAAAGUGUUAUUAAUGGAAUGGCUGCUUGACAUACUUAAUACAUGAUGCUAAAUAUCUUUUGAGGCUAGAUACAUUAUGAGUGUGAGUGACUCAACUGAAAGUAGUUAUGAUUAUUUCUUUAAUUGAGAAAAACAGAUCCUUACUGAGUGCAUCACAGUUUCAGCCCUCACGGUAACCUCCUGGUUAGGAUUAUGGGUUAAUUUGGUUCAUUUUACUAACAUUUGGCCUAGGAACUAGGUGCUGGCAGCAUCUUUAGAGUUUGGGGAAAAAAAUGCAGUCACUUUUUGUGUUGAUGGCUGGGAAUUUGUCUUCCUCUCCUGACUAGUUUUAUCCAAGCUUUCAGCUGUGAUUUAAUUUCAAAAAACAUCAUGUUGCAAGACAUGUAUUUCUCCCUUUUCCAGGUGGAAGAAAUUUGUAGUUGUUUAGGAACUCUGUAAAACAUAACAUUAAUUCUGGUUGUGUUUACACUGGUUUAUGUUAAUAUGAAAUUUACCAUGCUGUUAGCAAAGCCAGGAUUUGGCAUAUGAGUCCUUUCCUGUUUAGUGGGAAGCACUUGCUGAUUGACCAUUUUGUGAAGUCAUGGACGUGUUACACUAUCCAACUUUUCUCCAGAGCAACACACAACUACAAGGCUCUUUUUGUGGAAUUUCAGUUUACGCAUGAUGUGAAAACCAGAAGGAUGUGCACACCUAGAUUAAUGUUUCGCUUUGCUGGCAGUAGUUGCAGUUUUACAGAAAGUGUCAUAAUAGCUGAUGUUUUUCCUAAAGAUUGUACUCUUGAAGUAAACAGAUAAUGUCAAGUUCUUUGUUUUUUGUUUAUAAAAUAAGUUUCUAGUCCUCGUGAUUGGAGGGAAGAUACUGAAUUUAUGAUCAAAGCAUAAUACAAAGACGCAGAAAUGAAAAAAUAUAAAUAUAAAGGCUGGUGCUUAUUUGAUUCUUUAAUAAUAUUUUUAAAACUUUAGAAUUUUCAGAGGAAAAAUGGGGAAAAUUCUGAAAGGUGGGAGGGAAACAGCAUGAGCUCACGAUCCGCAGUAUCUCAUUUGCAUUUUGUUUUCAGCUUGGUCUGAGGAGUAGUUUAAUGGUCUGAAUACUAGCUUUUAAAUCCCUAUGCAAGUUGAAUCUGUAUCUACAGUAUCAGCAGCAGGACUAGGAAUAAAAUUCACACCUUCACACCUCUACAAAGAACAAGUAUAGCAGUGAGAAUUUAUUGCAUAUUUAGCUAGCCAUUUAAACAAAGAUUACUGAGACUGUUCUGUCUGGUAUUACUUAUCUGUGUCUUUAUUAGCUGACCAAGAAAUGCGCUGUUUGUCAUUCAUCAGGGUGUUUCUCUGCCUUUGCCUGCUUGCUUGGCUAGAUUUUCUCUUCUCUCCCCACUUGUAAGUGUUUGGGCAGAGAAAGUACUUACUUAAAGCAAAUUUCCAAGGUAUUUUUUAAAAUUUUUAAUUCCUUAAAUUAGGAUCAUAACUGUCAGUAAAUGUUAUGUGGCCAUACACGCUAGUCAUUGGAAUUGCUAUGGGAAUUGCUGGCUGGAAUAGUAAGUUCUUUAUUGUUUGGGAAUCAGAGUUCAUGAUACUGAGGGUCUUCUAUGACUCCAAGAGCUGUGAACUAGCUUUCAAGACUUAAAAUGAAUGGUUAUGAAUAAUUAGGCUUUUUUCUCUGUAAAUUUUUUCACAAAAACAGCAGUAACAAUAAAACUGCAAAUAAAAUACUUUGUUUGCCUAGGGAAUUGCUUAGUUUGUUAUUUGGAUUGUAGUACUCCCAGUCCCCAAACAGAAUUAGGGUCUGUCUCUAAUAAAUGCUUGGGUAGAAAUUAAGAGAUUGCCCUUGCUUUAGAUCUUCAUGAUCUACAUCAGAGAUUCAUACAAAUGAGAAGAAACAUUGCUAUAGGCAAAAUAUCAAAGGACAUUGUGGCAAUUAUCCUUUUGUAAAGAUGGGCCAAGUAAUUCUGAAUUGUAUAGAAUGUGGUGGGCACAGGACUGUUCUGUGGAUGAAACAAAACAGCGUAAAUUGUGACUUUUUUUUUUAAGACUGAAAUGUUUAGACAAACUAUGCUGAGAAUUGACUUCAGAUAGAAUACUUUUGAUUUUCCGUGUCUUUCCACAAAAAAAUUCUUUCCGUUUCCAGAAAAAGUAUUUGUCUUUCAAAAACCUCAUUCAGCUGCAAGUAAAAUUUUAAUUGAUGUUUUCAAAAAUACAUUUCUGUUUUUAUCAGCCUUUGUUGGGGAAAAGUUGGAACCUAGUAAUAGUGGCCUGUGGGACAUCAGUUUUUGUGACUGCCGUGGCUUGAAAACUUGUUGAAAGGAGCCUAAAAUGUAUAUGAUUUCUUAAAGGCUAAUGCCAAACCACUCCCAUACACUUUUGGAAUCUCUUGGGAUUCUUACCAGGGUAUUCUCCAUAGAGUGUAAUUCAAAACAGCAUGGACUGCAAGAGAUUUUCGGUGGAGAGUAUGUCUAGAAUUGGAAGUCAAUUCCUAACUGUACUUUGUUGAUGGGAGGGAGGAGUAGUGUUUUUCUUUGUCUUACCUUGAUUUUUCUUAAAGAUAAUGAAUUCUUGCAGUAGGGGAAAAAAAAAAAAAAAAGAGAUAUCCAUUGCUUUUCCCUGCCUAACUUUACUUGUAGAAAUUCUCCUUCCUCUAGUGAGUAAAUCAGGGCAGGUGCCAGGAGUGCUGCUUCCCCAGCCAGCAGCAUAAGGAAACUGUCUGGCUGUACUGAGAAAGUUUUCCCAGCUCUGUGUUUAUUAGCCUUGUGAGGAGAAGCAGGAGCAUUGAAAGCUUUUUGGAAGCUUAUGGGGAAACAAAAAAAAAAAAAAGUAUUAGCUGGCAUUUUAUGUUAGGGAUUUUAUACAAUACUGUCAAAACCCCGAAUUCUUAAGACUCUAUUUUCAUCCAGUAAAUCUUUGGAGUGCCUUGAAAGCUUGGAACUUCUUUUGCUAGACCACUUUAGAGCAGCUAAAAAGCUAUUGUAUGUAAAAUUUGUACUGUUUAGUUUCUGACAAUCAGGUGGGUUUUCCUGGACCCUGAAGAAUAAAUUUAAAGGUACAGAGAAAAUUGUGUGUCUGUAGACUACAGACUACAGAUAGUAGAUACAAUGCAGUUUAGGGUGGGAGCAGGGUUAUAUGUUAGCUGGUCUUAAAUGGAAAUCUUUGUACUGCCACAGAAAGCCAAAGGACACUGUAAUAUUUAAAUCAGAGUUUCUUCCAAGUAAAAAUAAAAAAAAGGAAAUAGUGAGACUUGGCAAAUAGAUCUUAACCUCAUGCUAUUUUUACAAGUCAGACAGAUGUGCAGUCUCCGAUAAGCUGGUACCCAGGACGAGCUAUCAAAUCAGAAAUCUGUGGAGUCACUCUUCAAAUCCCAGCACUAAUCGCAAUGAUAAAGAGCUACCUUUCGAUUAAUCCUGUCCUGGACUUUAGACAAAAGAUACUGCAGUUUAAUUACUGAGUGAAAUCCACUUUGUCUGAUCUGCCAGUCUGCACUGUAAUGUCAUAAUAUAAUCAGCCUCACCCCUGUCUGAAGCUCUAGGGCUGUGAAGUCCAAGGACUUGUUUGAUUGGAAGAAAUAAAACGAUGUUCAAACAACCACCAGCCACAGGGCUGUAAUUACCAAAAUCUUGUUUGCAUCUGUCUGUCAUUUUCACCAUUGGUUUUUUUAUGACAUGAAGAAGCAAGGAGAGAUCAUGGUGGAUAAGAACAGCAACCUGACAGGUGACAAAUCAAGAUGUGGGAUGGUUUUCUUGUAGAAAAUAAUCAUUGUAAAAUAUUCCGGCUAAUUAAACUGGGUCUCUUUUUUACAUAUUUCUCAUCAGCUUUGGUGACACAUGCUGGUUCAAGCAAAGCCAGCCAUUGGUACUGUCAUUUCAUAAUUAAAACCUGUAACUGAGCUGGGAGUGCCUCCACCGGAGGUUCCAGUGCAGGGAUGGAGUUGUGUGAGUCUGAGAAAUUGUAUUUCUACUCAAGUGAGAAAGACAGCAGGUCUGCCACAGUAGGAGGUGUUUCCUCACACCCCUCUUAGCAGAUUUAGCCAUGAUUUGGAGGGAGUGUUCCUUUGCACAAAGAGAGAGGCCAUGGCUUGCUAUAACAUAUUACUUAGCAUGCCUUGCAGAGGUGCAUGGCUCAUCCCCCCCCCAGCUGUGUGGCAGCUCAUUGCACCAACUCACACUGCAAGCAGUGGGUGAAAUUAGGAUGCUCCUGAUCUUUUGAUGUCAGGCCUUUUUCCCUCCACCUCUUUUAUUAAGGGUGUGUUGGUAGAAUUUAUUUUUAAUGUACCAUGGAGAUUAUUGUCUGGAAAAGUUCAUUACCUUUUCCAGGCUCAUUUGAUAGAGCUGACUAAAUAGCGGUGCCUUCCUCUCACUUUUGACCUCGGCAGAGCUGGAUUGUUAGCAAGAAUUGAAGACAUCCAAAAUAAAUGAGAUCCAAAACAUUUUUAAUAAAUGUUUUGUUUAGUUAUUUUUCUGGCCAUGCCAGGGAGGUUGCAGUUGUGGAAAGAAUAGCUGACAAAGCUCUCAAAAAUUGUUUGUUCUCAAGUUAUUGCAAAACAUAGAUGCUAAUGGCCAGAAAAGGAAACACACCUUUUAUCUAGCUCCAUCCUUUAGAGAGGGCACUCUUAACCUGUGGUUGGCUUAAGUGUGAUUGGAUUUGCUGACGUCUUUUUAUUGCUUAGGUUUUCUUCCCCCAACCACCUCAAAAUCCUCAUUUAUCUCACAGUGUUUUCUUAAAAUUUAAGUUUUCUCUGCUUUUCCCUUUGCAUCUUCUUUGUCUUGUGGCCAUUUCCACACAGAUCUUCCUUUUUCUUCUUACAUGAUUUAGCCACUCAACUCCUUACCAUCUCAGUUGCGCUUUGAACUCUCUAUUCCACCCAUCUAGAAUGGAGUUCUUGCACUGUCACUUUCUUCCAGCUCUUCUGCCCUAAAAGCACUCCCAGUUUCCAUUUAUUUUUUACAGAAUGAGCUGGUGGAUUAUUGUGAAUCACAACUGGAGUUUGACAAUAAUCCCUGUGCUGCUUCCUCCUCACAGAAUGGGCUUGUUCAACACUUGUACCUGCAGGGGCCAAGUACAGGGUGAGAUGUGAAUGCUCUCCGGGUGUCCUGGAGCUCUAGCCUGCGGGUAGAUUUCUGUGCAUAGACCAGUUCUCUGUACUGCAAAAUCAGAGCAAUGUCUUGGGGCAGAAACGGGGGGUGAGGAAGGAUAGCAGACAGCAGUUGUUAGCAGUAUGUGUCUGUGCCUUAAACUUACAGUACAUUUACUUUCUUCCUCUUCCUUUUGUAGCCUGUGGCUGACAGCAAUGCCUGGCAUUGCCUGUCAUCAGGGAUGGCAUGCAGGGUGUUUUGCAAUGGAAAUCUGGCUUUAAACAUAACUGGGUUUGUCACUACUGUUUUAACUUCUGAAUAGUAUUUAAACAUUACAGUCUGCAGAUUCCAUUCCAGCAGGAUCUAUCCGGAGGAGGCUGUCUAGAGAAUCUUCUCUGAAGCAGCUCUGACCAGCAGCAAUGGCCCUAGCACUUUGUGUACUUCCAACCUCACUCUAAUCCUUUCUGUUAGAAACAGAAAUGUCAGAAGAAAGAUGUGCACAGCUUCUUUUAAAUCUCAGGAGUAUUUUUCAGCAUGAAGAAGUCCAUCUAGUUACAUAGUCUUGCAACAACCACUGGUGUCUUGCUUCCCAAGGGAAGAGUAUCGGGGAAACGUGAACAAUAGUUGUAUGGCCAGUUGCUACAGGAAUUCUUUGUUUUCCAAAUGUGAGGAUAAAGGAGGGCAUAGGGUAGCAUAUAACAGUACGUAAGAAGAAAAGAAGAAAUUAGUCUAUAUUGAUCAGAAUAAAUUGUGUUAUUUUCUAGGAGAAAAAAGAUACAUGCAGGUGGAGUACAAGUUUAGUGUGAAAACACCUUGUUACAUGUACAGGGUUGUGAAAUUCCCAUCUUUCUAAAGACCUCAGUUCAUACUCAGGUGUUCGGUGUGUUUACAGACACAAAGAUGGGGCAUCCUUAAUGUAAUGGCUCUCACAAGCUUUGGUGUGGGGAGUUUUGUGUGCAUGAUGCCGUACUGCAGCCCAGCUAUACCUUUGGGGCUUUCUACAUAGAUAUGGCACAGGUUCUGGGGUAGCUUUAGACUACCGCCACGUUCUUUGGACUGACAUAGGAACUUGUCAGAAGACCCAACUCAAAAUGUUCAUGGCUAUAUAGAUUAUUUUAGUCCCCUGCCCGCUCUGGAAAAGUGAAUUUCUCUUCUCUUUAUCAUUCAGUGGUAUUGUUUUCUUAGAUACUGUUGCAUCUUCUGAAAAACUGUGGUGCUGUUAGCCAUAGUACUGUGUGAAUUAAUGAUUUUUGCUGUGCAAAAUCAAAGCAGCAAUGAUCCGUAGUUAGAGGACAUAGCACAGAUAGGAGGAGGCUAGAGGAGAAAGAGGAGCAGCAGGCAGAGGAGUGAUCUGAAGACUGGAGAGAAAAAGCAGAAGACUCAAAUCCCAAAUCCUUCAUCACCCAUGAUACUGUCUGUUCAUAUUUACUCAUUAGCCCUCAUACUGCUUGCUCACGCAUAGUUUUGUGCCAAUGCUCAUAUUAGCCCCACAGCUUAGGCUGAGCUCCACAUGCACAUGGCUCACUAUGACACUUUCACAAGUACUUUGAAGUGUUAUCAACACAUUCCCAGAUCCCACAUGGCACAACCAAAACCUGUUGGAAGUAGAGUAAGACUUGUAUAUAUUGGAAGCAGUUCCAUUCAGGUGCAUGAAUCAAAUCCAACUCAUGGAGAGUCAGGAACAAGAGUGAAUCUCAAGUCUGUUCCUCAGAUGUGUGCAAAGUACUGGGAAGUAACUAAUUUUCUAAUUGAAAAUUACAGAAUCAUAGAAUCACUGAGGUUGGAAGACUCCUCCAAGAUCAACUCCAACCUUUGACCAAACACCACCAUGUCGACUAGACCAUGGCACUAAGUACCAUGUUCAAUCAUUUCUUGAACAUUUCCAGGGAUGGUGACUCCACCACUUACUUGGGCAGUCUGUUGCAAGGCAGUCUGUUGCAAGGCACCCUUUAAGUGAAGAAAUUCUUCCUGAUGUCCAAUCUGAACCUCCCCUGGCACAAGCUUGAGGCCAUUUCCUCUUGUGUUGCUACUUGCAUGUGAGAAGAGGCUGCCCCCCACCUUGCUACAACCUCCUUUCAGGUAGCUAUAGAGAGCAUUAAAGUGUCUCCUGAGCCUCCUUUGCUCCAGGAAAAUUGCACCAUGCUCCUGAUGGGAGCACUUCAUCAUAUCUUCAUUUCAUCAUAUCACCGUCUUUUCUCUUUAGCAGAAAGACUUCAAUGAAGAGAGCUUUCUGGUCACUUCUGGUGACAUAGAGAUUGAAAAUUUUGGGGGUCUAGAUCUGAAAGUACUUCACCAAGUUGUUGGUUUUUCUUUUAACAUUUGAGAGUUUGAGACCUGGUAUUUCUGUCCCAAGGAAGAAAAUCCUUAUUUACUGGCCAGUCUUAAUUAAACUUACCCUCUCCCCAGAAUCAAGCCUCAUGGCAGCUCACUCUUUUCUUUGUCUAAGCAUGUCACUUUUUGUGCCAGAGAGAGGUGCUAAGAAUCCCAAGGAAGGAGGUGAGCCAGGUCUUCUGCUCUGCAUAGAGAAGGUAAAGCAUACCCAGAACUGCACAGAGUGGCUCCUCAUCCAUUUUCUAAUGAGCACCUUGCUGACAUCAGCCAGCCUUGCCUGUCCAUCAGCCAGGUCACCCUGGCAUUUGUCACAAGGUGGGGCUCUGUUUAUAUUGCAUGUGGGUCGUGCUUGCCCCACUUUUUAAAUGGAAGUGAAUUGAAGCCCUCACAAUUGUGCAAGAGUCAGAGGAGAGUUAAUAUUUUUGGUCUCCAGUCCUGCCAGUGCUGUUAACAAUGUUUUAAGGGCAGAAGGCAAUUGCUAAUUGUGAUGUAACUUGAAUGAUUUCAUCGCUUCACUCCUCUCACCCUACUGGGACAUUCAUCAACUCUUCCUGGUCACUGUUGACCCGGGAUGCCAAAAAUCUGGCAAUCUCAAAUCACAGCUUAGCCAACCUGGACCUGAUUUAUCCACUCUGGUCUGUUUCUGUAAAUGCUUGGGGUUUUUUUAUACAGAUAUAUGCAGAGUAUUCUCAAGCUUAGAACUGUGUGGAGACUUCUGAUUUUGUUGUGCUCUAAAAUUUUUUCUUUUCCACACAGUUAAACAAUAUCAUGUCAAGGGUGAGGAGAAACCUCAUUUUAGCAUCUUGUUGCCAAUCCCCCAAGUUACACAUUUUUCUCUAAGCCCACUUGUCUUGUAAAUCAUAAAAUACCCUUUUAGGAAUAGUUAUCAGUUGUAGACUCUUUCUCCCCUUCAGCAUAAAGAGUAGUUGAGAAACCAGGGGCAGCUUACUUGACUAUCAGAGCCUCUAUUGAAUUCAUCCACAGGACUAAAGAGAUCAAAAUUGUUUGAAUUGACCCUAUCUGUUGCCAGUCUGAAGAGAAAUCCCUUAAGCUUUCUCCUUUCUUGUCAUGUACCGUCUCCCUUUGUCAGUUCACAUCCAAGGUGUUUUUCUUAGGGAUAGCAGGAGCUCUAGCAAUAUCUAUCUUUAUAAAGCCUUCAAUGAGAGAGCAAGAGACUGAGCAGGAGGGUGUGGGGAGAAGGGGGAAGUAUACUGGGUGAGUGUCUGACCCUGGAGUACCUUCUGCUGUCUCCGAGACCCACAACCUUAUCAAGAAGCACACUUGUGGCUUCUGUGGCAAAGGAUGACAACAAAAGCAACGCUGUCCACCACAAUGACUAUUCAGAAUUGAGGCCUGGAUUUUAAAACAAAUGCAUUUGGAGCAUAGAUGUGGAAAGGAGGAGAAGCACAAGUGUUGCUUAUUGGGGGCCCUGCAGACAGAAAAUUAUUGUGUUUCUAACGCUAUUGAUUUUUUGCAGCAGCUGAUAUUUCAAUCUGAGUGCAGCAUGUCUGAGCGUCUACGCACACUGUCAAGAAGAAAUAUGAUAGUGUCUUAAAAGAUUAAUAAUAUCACUGGUCCUCAGGAGGCCUGUCUUAAUUCACUGGCCUGUUCCUUGGCAUGUACUGUAAUUUAUCUAGUCUGAUUUGAAUAGCAAAUGGCAAUCGGCUGCCAUUAGGGAAAUAGGCAUCAGUCUUAUUGAUCCAGGAUGGGCUGGAUUUUAUUUAAGGAGAGCUGAAAAAUGUUAUUAACUUCCGGAUGAGAGGCUGGAAGUGGAGAAUUUUUUGCAGUGUUCCAAGGCAGGGUGAAUUACACUGAAUCCUAAAAGUACUGAAAUAGAUAAUGGGAGGGGGGUGAUCAACUGCUACCACUUUGUUUUCAAAGACACCAGUUAUUUCCAGCACUCCUGUUCUCUUUCCUGGGCUCUCUGUCUGUAUGAAUGACUUAGUUGUCUUUGUUGGAGGCAAGGGUACUAGCAUUUGGGGAGAAGAAAAAGGGAUGGAUGAUCUUCCUCUUGGUUCAGAUAAAGCUGGAAUUGACUCUUCACUGUGACACAUGAAUUGUGGGUUUUCCAGGCCCCUCACUAUGUUUCACAAGAGCUCUGCAGUUUAACUUCCUCAUGGGGAAUAUGUAAUCCUUGCUGAUGCUCUGCUUUAUGUGUGUUUGGAAUGGCCACCAGUGCUUCCUGAGGGGAGCAGCUGAUAUGGCUAAAAGGGAGAUGAUACUGCUGUAAACGUCCUGUCCUGGAUCCCUUUUCAUACCAGUUCUUGCCAGCAGUCACCGUGAAGAAUAAAAAGAGGUUUUGGAUAAUAUUUAGGUGCUUCAAAUCCAGCUUUAUUUUUCAGUGGAUAAUGUUGUUAAGUGCCAUGCUGAGCUAUGGAUGUGAGGAAGUCUGAUGCAGUUUCAGUCUCUACACUUAAACAGAAACAAAAUCUUACGGCAGUAUUGGGAGUCUGAAAACUAAAGAUUUUUAUAUAAAACUAAUCAUAUAGAAGUAAAAUUACAGCAAAUACCUUGGGAAAUUUCCAGUCUCAUGUUGUGCCACUGUGGGAUAACCUCCCCAGGGAAGAGGUGGGAGCCCAGUUAUUUGGCACUCUAAAGUUAGACUAGCUAGAGCAUCAGGAAAAAAAACAUAAGGAAUACCCCAGCUCAGGUGGGAGGAGGGACUAAAUGAUUAAAUACCACAGGUCUCUCCAGCUUUAAUCGCUGUAACUCUUUGAUACAUCAGACUCUCCCAGCAGGAAUCACUAAAAAGAUCCAGGAGUGCUGUCUAUUAAAAGCUCAGAGCCACUUCCGCUUCAUCAGGAGACACUGUGAGGAGCAGUGGAGGAGUGUGGUACGUAGGGGGAGUUCAAAGCUCCCCUCCAGUCCCACUCUCCCUGGGAAUCCGGCUCCUCAGGGAGCAGUGUGGGAAUGGUGGUUCCGGGGAGCUCACAGGCUGUCCUGCACCAGGCUCCCUGCAGGAGGCACUGGGAGGACUGGGCUGGGGUUGCUCUCUCGGGAGGGUGGGAAGCAUGCAGUGGAGAAAGGGAUGGGGAAGGGACGGUUCCCCGGUCACGGUUGGCUUUUUACCUUUGUGAGAUACAAGCAAUAUUACCUUUGAGAAGAUUCUUGACCCUCACAAGAAGAUCUUACCAACUGACAUAUUUUUCCAACAGUAUUCACAAUAAAGAGGAAAGCACAGCAACAUUUCAGAGAAGUAGCUUCUUCUUACUUGCAUUCAUUUUGUACCUUAAACACAGGGUUAGAGAAUAAAGCUCUACAGGAAAUGACCACGAACAAAAGCAAUAAAAUAAAUUGAAACUGACUUUGGGGCUUUUUUUGAGCAGUGGUAAUUGCUAUACAUUGUGAUGUUUGCAUAAGAAAUUAGUUAAUGUGUAAGAGAAUGACAUGUGAUAUAUUUUAUUUGCCUGAUGACUGUAGUCUCUGAAUGAAUGACUUAUUAAGGUUAAUAAAAAAAAAUUUGCUUGUGACUUGUAAUAAUUCGAUUGCUAGAAUUUAACGUUCCCUUAUGCACAGUUGCCUAAAGGGGGGAAACUAAAUUAUACAUACGUUCUAAUGACCGGCUGGCUAUGCUUUUAUUUAUUCCUUAAUAGCGGUUUGAGAACAAACAAUGUGUUCUAAAUUGUUGGUCUGUCUGUCUUUCUGCCUGCCUGGGCAGGAACGUUAUGGCUUUCUUAUUUCUCCUGCGUGAUUUAUCAUCCCCAAUUCAUUGUUUUGCAUAACUCUGCUCAAAAUGAAGAAAUGUCAUUAUUUUGCAGUGAAAAAGUUGUCAUUUGCAUAAUGCCUGCCAUUAAUUAUUGUGAGACUAAUGCAGUUGUUGAUAUUUUUAGGGCACAGUGGUACAUCCUGCACCUUGUAUAAUGUCAUUCUGAAAACAUGGGUAGUUAAUAGGUGCCACAACACUGCACAAAUGCAAGAAA